CUGGCUCAUGUUGGGCUGUUUAGCGGUAGUAAUUAAGUAUAUGCUUACUAUUAAAUAAAUAACUCCUCAAAUAGAAAGUACUACAAAUUAAUAAUUUGGGCCCCCUAAUUUUUAGGGGGCCCUAUGCGGUCACCCACCUUGCACCUGCUAGUAUACGGGCCUGUGUAGAAGUGUUCGUUUCUCAAUCUAUCAGAAAAUUGUUAUUUCUAUUUCUAAAUAUAUGAUUUUGGACGUUUAUUCUUUACUAUGUAAAUGGGCCGAACCUAUUUCUAUUGGGCCUUGAUACUAUUGGGAUCGACUUAACGGAUCUUAAAUGGGCUUGGACCGGAGAAAAACGCUUCGUUAUAUCACGUGGUGGUACAUUGUCCUCUCAAGUGACGACACGUGGUUCGGUUAUCAGA
rnacentral:lncRNA from 1 species